rnacentral:rRNA from 1 species
UACGUAGGGAGCAAGCGUUGUCCGGAAUCAUUGGGCGUAAAGAGCGCGUAGGUGGCUGUAUAAGUCCGUUGUGAAAGUCAAAGGCUCAACCUUUGAAAGCCGAUGGAUACUGUAGAGCUAGAGUACGGAAGAGGCGAGUGGAAUUCCUGGUGUAGCGGUGGAAUGCGCAGAUAUCAGGAGGAACACCAAUAGCGAAGGCAGCUCGCUGGGACGUUACUGACACUGAGGCGCGAAAGCGUGGGGAGCGAACGGG